CAUGGAUGCAAUCAGGAACUCCACACUGUAGGAAAUUCUACAGGACAAAUGACCCAGUUUCUACAACAACAACAUCAAAAUGAAAGGAGAAAAAGAAGAAAUUGAGAGUGAAGCUGCACAUUUAAAAAUCUUGGCUGAGUGCAGUGUCUCACGCCUGUAAUCCCAGCACUUUGGGAGACUGAGGCGGGUGGAUCAAGUGGGUAAUCCUAAUUAAAUAUUUGUUAAAUCAAAAAUAAUAAUUCCUGGCCCUGCACAGUGGUUCACACCUCUAAUCCUAGCACUUUGGGAGGCCAAGGUAGAGGAUCCCUUCAGCCCAGCAGCUUGAGACUAACCAGGGCAACAUAGUGAGACCUCCAUCUCUACAAAAAAUAAAAAAUUAGCCAGGCAUGGUGGCAUGUGCCUGGAAUCCCAGUUACAUAAGAGGCUGAAUCAGAAGGAUUACUUGAGCUAAGAAGGUCGAGGCUGCAGUGAGCCAUGACCCUCAGCCUGCUGCACUCCAGCCUCAGCAACAGAGCAUGACCCUGUCUCAAAUAAUAAUAAUCAUUCCGAAAUAAGGGACAUAAUUUUUAAGGAGAGUUAAAAGGCUGAAAAAAUAAUAGCAUACAAGCCAGAAUGGGAGUCUCUGAAUUUAAAGUGAAUUAUUUACAUUGUUUAGGAGGAGAAUAGAGAUAUUGAUUAACUCUAGUCUAGUAUAUAUUGCAAGUUAAAAUUUCAAAGGUAACCACAAAAAUUGUGUGCCUGUGUGUGUUUGUGUGUGUAUGUCCAAACCUAUAAAAGAUGGGGAUAACCACAUAAAAAAGAACAAAAUGUGGCUCACGUCUGUAAUCCCAGCUCUUUGGGGGACCGAGGUGGGCACAUUCCUUGAAGUCAGGAUCCAGGCAGAUCAGCUGGAGACCAGCCUGGACAACAUGGCAAAACAUUGUCUCUCCUAAAAAUGCAAAAAUUAGCCAGGCAUGGUCGCAGCCACCUGUAAUCCCAGCUACUUGAGAGGCUGAGGUAGGAGAAUCACCUGAACCCAAGAGGCAGGGGUUACAAUGAGCCAAGAUCACACCACUGCAUUCCAGCCUGGGCAACAGAACAAGACUCUGUCUCAAAAAAAGAAAAAAAAAGAAAAAAAAAGAAAGAAAGAACGAAGUAGCUAAUCAAGAAUCAACUGUGUUGCCAACAUGCAUAUUUAAAGAGAAAAAGGAAAAGAACCCAGCAACCAGAGCAGGGGACCAGUUUACUGGCUCUUGGUGUCUGCUGAGCCAGGGCC
rnacentral:lncRNA from 10 species